rnacentral:rRNA from 1 species
UGCAGAAUCCCGUGAACCAUCGAGUUUUUGAACGCAAGUUGCGCCCGAAAGCCACUAGGCCAAGGGCACGUCUGCCUGGGCGUCACGCAUCGCGUCGCCCCCACACCCAUUCGGGCUGUUCAUGGGGGCGGAAAAUGGCAUCCCGUGCUCCGUCGUGGCUUGCCUAAACCCGAGUCCUUGGCUGCGGACGUCACGACAAGUGGUGGUUGAAACACUCAACUAGAUUGCGAGUCGUUUGCACCCCGCGRCCGAGGAGACAUCGAAYAGACCCUAGUGCGAUCCCUUCCCGAGGGAGGAGCGUUCGCCACGACCGCGACCCCAGGUCAGGCGGGGCUACCCGCUGAGUUUAAGCAUAUCAAUAAGCGGAGGAAAAGAAACUAACAAGGAUUCCCCUAGUAACGGCGAGCGAACCGGGAACAGCCCAAGCUUAGAAUCGGGCGGCUUCGCCGUCCGA